rnacentral:rRNA from 1 species
AUUGAACGCUGGCGGCAGGCCUAACACAUGCAAGUCGAACGGUAACAGGAAACAGCUUGCUGUUUCGCUGACGAGUGGCGGACGGGUGAGUAAUGUCUGGGAAACUGCCUGAUGGAGGGGGAUAACUACUGGAAACGGUAGCUAAUACCGCAUAACGUCGCAAGACCAAAGAGGGGGACCCUCGGGCCUCUUGCCAUCGGAUGUGCCCAGAUGGGAUUAGCUUGUUGGUGGGGUAACGGCUCACCAAGGCGACGAUCCCUAGCUGGUCUGAGAGGAUGACCCGCCACACUGGAACUGAGACACGGUCCAGACUCCUACGGGAGGCAGCAGUGGGGAAUAUUGCACAAUGGGUGCAAGCCUGAUGCAGCCAUGCCGCGUGUAUGAAGAAGGCCUUCGGGUUGUAAAGUACUUUCAGCGGGGAGGAAGGGAGUAAAGUUAAUACCUUUGCUCAUUGACGUUACCCGCAGAAGAAGCACCGGCUAACUCCGUG